rnacentral:rRNA from 1 species
GAUGAACGCUAGCGGCAGGCCUAACACAUGCAAGUCGAGGGGUAACAGGAAAAAGCUUGCUUUUUUGCUGACGACCGGCGCACGGGUGCGUAACGCGUAUACAAUCUACCGCUUACUGGAGGAUAGCCCAGAGAAAUCUGGAUUAAUACUCCAUAGUAUAUAGAAGAGGCAUCUUUUUUAUAUUAAAGGCUACGGUAAGUGAUGAGUAUGCGUCCUAUUAGCUAGUUGGUAUGGUAACGGCAUACCAAGGCGACGAUAGGUAGGGGCCCUGAGAGGGGGAUCCCCCACACUGGUACUGAGACACGGACCAGACUCCUACGGGAGGCAGCAGUGAGGAAUAUUGGACAAUGGGCGCAAGCCUGAUCCAGCCAUGCCGCGUGCAGGAAGACUGCCCUAUGGGUUGUAAACUGCUUUUAUACAGGAAGAAACCUUUCCACGUGUGGGAAGCUGACGGUACUGUAAGAAUAAGCAUCGGCUAACUCCG